rnacentral:rRNA from 1 species
GACGAACGCUGGCGGCGUGCUUAACACAUGCAAGUCGAGCGGUAAGGCUCCUUCGGGAGUACACGAGCGGCGAACGGGUGAGUAACACGUGAGUAAUCUGCCCUUCACUUCGGGAUAACCACCGGAAACGGUGGCUAAUACCGAAUACGACCAGUCUUCGCAUGAGGUGCUGGUGGAAAGUCUUUUCGGUGAAGGAUGUGCUCGCGGCCUAUCAGCUUGUUGGUGGGGUAAUGGCCUACCAAGGCUUCGACGGGUAGCCGGCCUGAGAGGGUGACCGGCCACACUGGGACUGAGACACGGCCCAGACUCCUACGGGAGGCAGCAGUGGGGAAUAUUGGACAAUGGGCGAAAGCCUGAUCCAGCAACGCCGCGUGAGGGAUGACGGCCUUCGGGUUGUAAACCUCUUUCAGUACCGACGAAGCGCCCUGUCGGGUGGUGACGGUAGGUACAGAAGAAGGGCCGGCCAACUACGUG